UACGUAGGGUGCAAGCGUUAAUCGGAAUUACUGGGCGUAAAGGGCUCGUAGGCGGCCAACUAAGUCAGACGUGAAAUCCCUCAGCUUAACUGGGGAACUGCGUCUGAUACUGGAUGGCUUGGAUUCGGGAGAGGAAUGCGGAAUUCCAGGUGUAGCGGUGAAAUGCGUAGAUAUCUGGAGGAACACCGGUGGCGAAGGCGGCAUUCUGGACCGAUAUUGACGCUGAGGAGCGAAAGCCAGGGGAGCAAACGGG
rnacentral:rRNA from 1 species